GUGUCAGCAGCCGCGGUAAUACGUAGGGGGCGAGCGUUGUUCGGAUUUACUGGGCGUAAAGAGCGCGUAGGUGGUUCGAUUAGUCGGAGGUGAAAUCCCUCGGCUCAACCGAGGACCCGCGUCCGAUACUGUCGAACUUGAGUGCAGGAGAGGAGAGCGGAAUUCCCAGUGUAGCGGUGAAAUGCGUAGAUAUUGGGAGGAACACCGGUGGCGAAGGCGGCUCUCUGGACUGUCACUGACACUGAGGCGCGAAAGCUAGGGGAGCAAACGGGAUUAGAUACCCCGGUAGUCCUAGCCGUAAACGAUGGGCACUAGGUGUGGGAGGUAUCGACCCCUUCCGUGCCGCAGCUAACGCAUUAAGUGCCCCGCCUGGGGAGUACGGCCGCAAGGUUGAA
rnacentral:rRNA from 1 species